AAAUUCUGGUUUCUCAUCAUAUCAUACAAAUCUUUUACCUUUUAUUAAGGAUUUUCAUGGAGAGGAACAUUUAUGACAGCUGGAGACCCAUCUUUUCAGGCAGGCUUUUUACAGCCAC
rnacentral:snRNA from 1 species